rnacentral:rRNA from 1 species
CCCUACACGACCGUACCGCAAACCGACACUGGUGCGCGAGAUGAGUAUUCUAAGGCGCUUGAGAGAACUCAGGAGAAGGAACUCGGCAAAUUGACACCGUAACUUCGGAAGAAGGUGUGCCUUUAGUAGGUGAACCAUUUACUUGGGGAGCCCAAUGAGGCUGCAAAAAAUCGGUGGCUGCGACUGUUUAUUAAAAACACAGCACUCUGCUAAGACGAAAGUCGACGUAUAGGGUGUGACGCCUGCCCGGUGCUGGAAGAUUAAAUGAUGGGGUGCAAGCUCUUGAUUGAAGUCCCAGUAAACGGCGGCCGUAACUAUAACGGUCCUAAGGUAGCGAAAUUCCUUGUCGGGUAAGUUCCGACCUGCACGAAUGGCGUAAUGAUGGCCACACUGUCUCCUCCUGAGACUCAGCGAAGUUGAAAUGUUUGUGAUGAUGCAAUCUCCCCGCGGAAAGACGGAAAGACCCCAUGAACCUUUACUGUAGCUUUGUAUUGGACUUUGAACAGAUCUGUGUAGGAUAGGUGGGAGGCUUUGAAGUGUGGUCGCUAGAUCGCAUGGAGCCAACGUUGAAAUACCACCCUGGUGUGUUUGAGGUUCUAACCUAGGUCCAUUAUCUGGAUCGGGGACAGUGCAUGGUAGGCAGUUUGACUGGGGCGGUCUCCUCCCAAAGUGUAACGGAGGAGUUCGAAGGUACGCUAGGUACGGUCGGACAUCGUGCUAAUAGUGCAAUGGCAUAAGCGUGCUUAACUGCGAGACUGACAAGUCGAGCAGAUGCGAAAGCAGGACAUAGUGAUCCGGUGGUUCUGUAUGGAAGGGCCAUCGCUCAACGGAUAAAAGGUACUCUGGGGAUAACAGGCUGAUACCGCCCAAGAGUUCAUAUCGACGGCGGUGUUUGGCACCUCGAUGUCGGCUCAUCUCAUCCUGGGGCUGUAGCCGGUCCCAAGGGUAUGGCUGUUCGCCAUUUAAAGAGGUACGUGAGCUGGGUUUAAAACGUCGUGAGACAGUUUGGUCCCUAUCUUCCGUGGGCGCUGCAGAUUUGAGGAAGCCUGCUCCUAGUACGAGAGGACCGGAGUGGACGAACCUCUGGUGUAUCGGUUGUCACGCCAGUGGCAUUGCCGAGUAGCUAAGUUCGGAAGAGAUAACCGCUGAAAGCAUCUAAGCGGGAAACUCGUUUCAAGAUUAGAUCUGCCGGGGCCUUGAGCCCCCUAAAGAGUCGUUCAAGACCAGGACGUUGAUAGGUCAGGUGUGGAAGCGA